rnacentral:tRNA from 1 species
ACUUAAAUAAUUUAAAUAAAAAUAUUGAUUUGUGGAGUCAAAUAUGUGAUCUAUUCAUUUUAAGUU